rnacentral:misc_RNA from 1 species
UUUUAAUGCAGUUAAAACUUAAAAUUUGACUUAGAAGUGCAUGGAACCUUCAAAUCACAUAACCUGCAAGGAGUGACAUGGCAAAAGGGCCUUUAGUACAUGCUGUGCCCUUUAUCGAAAGUGUGGGGUGCUAUGGGUGUUUUCACUGCAGAUUUUAAGGUUUUAUCUAUAUGUUUUGGAAGUUAAUACUCGAGUCCUUUUAUGAAUACAAGCUUAGCUGAAAAACUUCCAUCAUAUGAUGAAUUUCUUUUCCUUUCUUUCUUUCUAAAGACAUAGGAAACUACUG